AAAUAAGUAUGAUUUAUUUUGUAAUCAAAUCCACCCGCUCUGAUACCAUUGACGGAAUGAUUAAUCUUAAUGAAUCAUAAACCAUACCUUGACUCGCUAAAUCCAUCUUGAAUUAAGCUUUGAAAUGCGUGCGCAGCCGUGAUCAAUCGAGAUUUGAAUAGAGAUUAGCCAGAGAUCUUCUGGAGAGAGAGCUCUUAAUGCGUGCUUUAGAGAAGGGGUCUAACAGGCUAUUUAUAGCCCUCUCCAGGGACCAAAUGCUG
rnacentral:lncRNA from 1 species